rnacentral:lncRNA from 1 species
GGCGGUGGCGGGGCCCGCCUCUGUUCACCGGCGGCGCAGGCUGAGGGCGGCUUGGGCCGCCUCUGCCGUGGCCAUCGGCCGGUGGAGGUGGUGGGCUCGUCAUGGCGGCCGGGCGUGUGGCCUUCUCCUCCCGCGGGCAUGCGCCGACGGGAUUGCGGCAGCGCGGCGGUGUCGGAGCAGGUGAUGGUUCAGGAAGUAGUAGUAGAGUAACGGCGCAGAGAUUAUCUGAGGCCGUCGUGACAUUUAGCUCUGCCGAGAUUAUCUCGUUCUCUAGUAGUACCCCAAUGGUGGUGAUUUUGCUACUAGAUUUUCUAAUGAUAGUAUAAUUUGUUCUAGUUGGAUUAGGAUGUUUGUAUGUCUGGAGUAGAUCAACGUCCCUUCAUUUCUGGACUGUUUGAUAUUUAUUAGAAAUUGCAGAAAAGAGUAGAUCAUUACGAUGCAUUUUGUUUAUUCAUAGAGAUGUUUAAAGUUCAGUAGCUUUAUAAUCGACAUACAUAUGAUUUUUAUGAAUGAAUAUUACUUCACAUGAUAAUUUCUGGCUCUUUCCUGUGUUCUCUUCUGUUUUGUGCUAAACUGCUAAGUUGGGUACACUCUAUAUUUAUCGUGAACUGUAGUUUACAAAGAUCCAUAGAAUUUCAUCUGAUGUAGUUUCCCAACCUGUAAACUCAAGUCUUCUAUGUGCUUUUUUG